rnacentral:rRNA from 1 species
AUUGAACGCUGGCGGCAUGCCUUACACAUGCAAGUCGAACGGCAGCGCGGGGCAACCUGGCGGCGAGUGGCGAACGGGUGAGUAAUAUAUCGGAACGUGCCCUGGAGUGGGGGAUAACGCAGCGAAAGUUGCGCUAAUACCGCAUACGAUCUAAGGAUGAAAGCAGGGGACCGCAAGGCCUUGUGCUCCUGGAGCGGCCGAUAUCUGAUUAGCUAGUGGUGGGGUAAAGGGCCUACCAAGGCAUCGAUCAGUAGCUGGUCUGAGAGGACGACCAGCCACACUGGAACUGAGACACGGUCCAGACUCCUACGGGAGGCAGCAGUGGGGAAGUUUUGGACAAUGGGCGCAAGCCUGAUCCAGCAAUGCCGCGUGAGUGAAGAAGGCC